AGCAGCAGCACAAGGUCUUCAGAUUUGAUCAUGGACCCUAAGAAUUCACCUUCAGCUGCUCCAACGCCACAAGUACAGAAGCUGCACAAACACAUUAACAAUCUUCCAGAAGAAUACAGGGAGGCUGCUAAAACAUUGUUGGUGGCCUAUCAAAAACGCCAUGAGGAUGAUAAAAUCAACAAAUUCUUCAAAUGCUUGGUUGAUUUCGUGAAACACCCUC